rnacentral:rRNA from 1 species
UACGAAGGGGGCUAGCGUUGCUCGGAAUUACUGGGCGUAAAGCGCACGUAGGCGGCUUCUUAAGUCGGUGGUGAAAUCCUGGAGCUCAACUCCAGAACUGCCUUCGAUACUGGGAAGCUCGAGUCCGGGAGAGGUGAGUGGAACUGCGAGUGUAGAGGUGAAAUUCGUAGAUAUUCGCAAGAACACCAGUGGCGAAGGCGGCUCACUGGACUGGUAUUGACGCUGAGGUGCGAAAGCGUGGGGAGCAAACAGG